rnacentral:rRNA from 1 species
UACGUAGGGGGCAAGCGUUGUCCGGAAUCAUUGGGCGUAAAGAGCGUGUAGGCGGCCAGAUAAGUCCGCUGUGAAAUCUCGAGGCUCAACUUCGAGCUGUCGGUGGAAACUGUCUGGCUAGAGUCCGGAAGAGGAGAAUGGAAUUCCUGGUGUAGCGGUGAAAUGCGCAGAUAUCAGGAGGAACACCGGUGGCGAAGGCGGUGAUCUGGGCCGGCACUGACGCUGAGGAGCGAAAGCGUGGGUAGCAACAGG